rnacentral:rRNA from 1 species
UACGUAGGGGGCGAGCGUUAUCCGGAAUACUGGGCGUAAAGCGCACGCAGGCGGUUCGCCAAGUUUGGAGUGACAGUUGUCGGCUCAACCGACAAAGGACUUCAAAAACUGGUGAACUUGAGAGACGAGAGAGGAACAUGGAACUCCAGGUGUAGUAGUGAAAUGCGUAGAUAUCUGGAAGAACACCAAUGGCGAAGGCAAUGUUCUGGCUCGUUUCUGACGCUCAUGCACGACAGCGUGGGGAUCAAACAGG